GCAACGAUAGUGUAGUGGUUAACAUCCGCGCCUUCCAAGCGCGUGGCCCGGGUUCGAUCCCCGGUCGUUGCA
rfam:Batrachochytrium dendrobatidis JAM81 unplaced genomic scaffold BATDEscaffold_7, whole genome shotgun sequence.